rnacentral:rRNA from 1 species
CCCAAGGUUUCCAGGGGAAGGUUCGUCCGCCCUGGGUUAGUCGGGACCUAAGCUGAGGCCGAAAGGCGUAGGUGAUGGACAACAGGUUGAUAUUCCUGUACUACCGAUAACCGUUUGAGAGAAGGGAUGACACAGUAGGAUAAGCUAAGCACACUGUUGGUUAUGUGUGCCCAAGCAUUGAGGCAGUCAAAGUAGGCAAAUCCGCUUUGAUAAUGCUGGGAUGUGAUGGGGAGCGAAAUUUAGUAGCGAAGUAGCUGAUUUCACACUGUCAAGAAAAGUCUCUAUCGAGGUUAAAGGUACCCGUACCGCAAACCGACACAGGUGGGUGAGGAGAGUAUCCUAAGGCCAGCGAGAGAACUGUUGUUAAGGAACUCGGCAAAAUGACCCCGUAACUUAGGGAUAAGGGGUGCCACCAUCAGGUGGCCGCAGAGAAUAGGCCCAAGCGACUGUUUACCAAAAACAUAGGUUUCUGCUAAGUCGCAAGACGAUGUAUAGGAGCUGACGCCUGCCCGGUGCUGGAAGGUUAAGGGGAUCUGUUAGAGCAAUCGAAGCAGUGAACUUAAGCCCCAGUAAACGGCGGCCGUAACUAUAACGGUCCUAAGGUAGCGAAAUUCCUUGUCGGGUAAGUUCCGACCCGCACGAAAGGCGUAACGAUUUGGGCACUGUCUCAACAACAGACUCGGUGAAAUUGUAAUUCCGGUGAAGAUGCCGGAUACCUGCGACAGGACGGAAAGACCCCAUGGAGCUUUACUGUAGCUUGACAUUGGGUCUUGGUACUACAUGUACAGGAUAGGUGGGAGGCUUUGAAACCAGGACGCCAGUUUUGGCGGAGCCAUCCUUGGGAUACCACCCUUGUAGUACUGGGACUCUAACCAUAG